rnacentral:lncRNA from 1 species
ACAAAUCUAAUGAUGGCCUCGCACGGUCAAUAUAUAAUCUCACACUUGAUUUAUGCGAAGAAAGGUGAACCAUUCAGAUACAACCUUGCACGGUGCAAAAGAUACAACUCCAAUUCCCCAUCCUCAACAUAGGAUUAGAAUUUAGAUUGAACCUUUCAUGAGGUUGCAUCUCACAUAGCUCUCAAAGCAUUCACAAAUUUUUCUUUCAUCCAUCUGCAC